rnacentral:rRNA from 1 species
UACGUAGGUGGCGAGCGUUGUCCGGAUUUACUGGGCGUAAAGAGCGCGCAGGCGGUCGUUCAAGUCGCGUGUGAAAGCCCCCGGCUCAACUGGGGAGGGUCACGCGAUACUGAUCGACUCGAAGGCAGGAGAGGGAAGUGGAAUUCCCGGUGUAGUGGUGAAAUGCGUAGAUAUCGGAAGGAACAUCAGUGGCGAAAGCGGCUUCCUGGACCAGAACUGACGAUCAGGCACGAAAGCGUGGGGAGCAAACAGG